rnacentral:rRNA from 1 species
GACGUAGGGGGCAAGCGUUAUUCGGAAUCAUUGGGCGUAAAGCGCUCGUAGGCGGAUCGAACAGUCGGUGAAGAAAGACCUGGGCUCAACUCAGGGAACGGCACCGAUACUAUCGGUCUUGAGGCAAUCAGAGGAUGAUGGAAUUCCCGGUGUAGAGGUGAAAUUCGUAGAUAUCGGGAGGAACACCGGUGGCGAAGGCGGCGACCUGGGACAAUACUGACGCUGAGGUGCGAAAGCGUGGGGAGCAAACAGG